GACGAACGCUGGCGGCGUGCUUAACACAUGCAAGUCGAGCGGAAAGGCCCUUCGGGGUACUCGAGCGGCGAACGGGUGAGUAACACGUGAGUAAUCUGCCCCAGGCUCUGGGAUAGCCACCGGAAACGGUGAUUAAUACCGGAUACGACAACCGAUUGCAUGAUCUGGUUGUGGAAAGUUUUUCGGCCUGGGAUGUGCUCGCGGCCUAUCAGCUUGUUGGUGAGGUAAUGGCUCACCAAGGCUUCGACGGGUAGCCGGCCUGAGAGGGUGACCGGCCACACUGGGACUGAGACACGGCCCAGACUCCUACGGGAGGCAGCAGUGGGGAAUAUUGGACAAUGGGCGGAAGCCUGAUCCAGCAACGCCGCGUGAGGGAUGACGGCCUUCGGGUUGUAAACCUCUUUCAGCACAGACGAAGCGCAAGUGACGGUAUGUGCAGAAGAAGGACCGGCCAACUACGUGCCAGCAGCCGCCGUAACAC
rnacentral:rRNA from 1 species